UACGGAAGGCAGCAGUGGGGAAUAUUGGACAAUGGGCGAAAGCCUGAUCCAGCCAUGCCGCAUGAGUGAAGAAGGCCUUCGGGUUGUAAAGCUCUUUUAGUGAGAAAGAUAAUGACGGUACUCACAGAAGAAGUCCUGGCUAACUCCGUGCCAGCAGCCGCGGUAAUACGGAGAGGGCUAGCGUUAUUCGGAAUUAUUGGGCGUAAAGAGCGCGUAGGCUGAUUUAGUAAGUUAAAAGUGAAAUCCCAAAGCUUAACUUUGGAAUUGCUUUUUAAAACUGCUAGUCUAGAGAUUUGAAAGAGGAUAGAGGAAUUCCUAGUGUAGAGGUGAAAUUCGUAAAUAUUAGGAGGAACACCAGUGGCGAAGGCGUCUAUCUGGUUCAAAUCUGACGCUGAGGCGCGAAGGGCGUGGGGAGCAAACGAGGGAUUAGAUACC
rnacentral:rRNA from 1 species